CCGGCGACCGGCGCACGGGUGAGUAACACGUAUGCAACCUGCCCUCUUCAGGGGGACAACCUUCCGAAAGGGAGGCUAAUCCCGCGUAUAUCGGUUUCGGGCAUCCGAGAUCGAGGAAAGAUUCAUCGGAAGAGGAGUGGGCAUGCGGCGCAUUAGCUAGACGGGCGGGGUAACGGCCCACCGUGGCGACGAUGCGUAGGGGUUCUGAGAGGAAGGUCCCCCACACUGGUACUGAGACACGGACCAGACUCCUACGGAAGGCAGCAG
rnacentral:rRNA from 1 species